UACGUAGGUGGCGAGCGUUGUCCGGAAUUAUUGGGCGUAAAGAGCAUGUAGGCGGCUUAAUAAGUCGAGCGUGAAAAUGCGGGGCUCAACCCCGUAUGGCGCUGGAAACUGUUAGGCUUGAGUGCAGGAGAGGAAAGGGGAAUUCCCAGUGUAGCGGUGAAAUGCGUAGAUAUUGGGAGGAACACCAGUGGCGAAGGCGUCUUUCUGGACUGUGUCUGACGCUGAGAUGCGAAAGCCAGGGUAGCGAACGGG
rnacentral:rRNA from 1 species